rnacentral:lncRNA from 1 species
AUGGAGAAGCUAGCUUUUAGACCUGGGACUGUCUUUUCAAAAAUCUCAUACUUUCUUUUUCUGCAAAAUGGCAUCAUGGUUCGCCAAACAUGCCUGCAUUCAGGAAACAAACUAAUAAACGAAACAAAGGGACAAGGAACAUCCAAAGGGAUCUCACCGACUCCAUUCAUCCUGGUGGGAGCAUGGGAAAUCAAUCAACCAGAAUAUUCUUUGACCAAUCACUGUGCCCGCUCAAUGCUCAGAUCCCUUUGCCAAUCAGAUCCGCCAAGAAUAUCGCAGUUCGAACAAAACCCACAGAAAGAUCCCAGGCACGUGCAGGCUCCACGGCAGGCUCUGACACACACGUUUCCACGGUCGGCUAUCAGCGGCCAUCUGGCAAUUAGCAGUCUCUGA